rnacentral:rRNA from 1 species
CCUACGGGUGGCAGCAGUGAGGAAUAUUGGUCAAUGGACGCAAGUCUGAACCAGCCAUGCCGCGUGCAGGAAGACGGCUCUAUGAGUUGUAAACUGCUUUUGUACGAGGGUAAACGCAGAUACGCGUAUCUGUCUGAAAGUAUCGUACGAAUAAGGAUCGGCUAACUCCGUGCCAGCAGCCGCGGUAAUACGGAGGAUUCAAGCGUUAUCCGGAUUUAUUGGGUUUAAAGGGUGCGUAGGCGGUCGGAUAAGUUAGAGGUGAAAUCCCGAGGCUCAACUUCGGAAUUGCCUAUGAUACUGUUCGUCUAGAGAGUAGUUGAGGUAGGCGGAAUGUACGGUGUAGCGGUGAAAUGCUUAGAGAUCAUACAGAACACCGAUUGCGAAGGCAGCUUACCAAGCUACUUCUGACGUUGAGGCACGAAAGCGUGGGGAGCAAACAGGAUUAGAAACCCCUGUAGUC